AGCACUUGAAAAAUUCUAUAUUUACUCAUGAACACAUGAUUAGUAACAUAAUCACUCAAAAUUUUAGAAUCAUCAAAAUUAAUUAUAGAGUCAAUAUAUACAUUUCAGAUAAGAUAUGAUGUUAAAAAAUAAAUACGAUAGAUAAAUAUAAGAACAUAUUUCAUGCUAAUUUAAGUAAAUCAAAUAUUUUUAAAUAUUUAUAUGCAUACAUAAUUAUAAAUCUGACUCGAAUUAAGUAAUAUAUAACUUAACAAUAUUAACUAUGACUACACUUAUAUCCUAUGGUGGGGCUAGAAUGGAAGCAAUGGGCUCAAUCAAAAUGUGAAUGCAUAAUCUAUAUUAACAGGAUCCAGAAAACUAAUGCAUAACCUCCAUUGACAGAGUCAAAAAAAACCAAUGCACAACUCCCAUUGAUAUGAUUUAGAGAACUAAUGCAUAAUCUCCAUUGACAAGAUCUAAAGAAUAUCAAUAUAUAACCCUC
rnacentral:lncRNA from 1 species